AUGACCUCGGAUCAGGUAGGGAUACCCGCUGAACUUAAGCAUAUCAAUAAGCGGAGGAAAAGAAACCAACAGGGAUUACCUCAGUAACGGCGAGUGAAGCGGUAACAGCUCAAAUUUGAAAUCUGGCUCCUCGGGGCCCGAAUUGUAAUUUGUAGAAGAUGCUUUGGGUCUGGGCCUGGCCUAAGUUCCUUGGAACAGGACGUCGUAGAGGGUGAGAAUCCCGUAUGCGGCUGGCGCCCGUGCCCGUGUAAAGCUCUUUCAACGAGUCGAGUUGUUUGGGAAUGCAGCUCUAAAUGGGUGGUAAAUUUCAUCUAAAGCUAAAUAUUGGCCAGAGACCGAUAGCGAACAAGUAGAGUGAUCGAAAGAUGAAAAGCACUUUGGAAAGAGAGUUAAACAGUACGUGAAAUUGUUGAAAGGGAAGCGCUGGCAACCAGACUUGGGCGCUGUUGAUCCGCUAGGGUUCUCUCUAGGGCACUCGGCAGUGCGCAGGCCAGCAUCGGUUUGGGGGGUUGGAGAAUGGCUGGUGGAAUGUGGCUGUCUUUGGGCAGUGUUAUAGCCACCGGUGGCAUGCAGCCUCCCCGGACCGAGGACCGCGCUUCGGCUAGGAUGCUGGCGUAAUGGUUGUCAGCGACCCGUCUUGAAACACGGACCAAGGAGUCUAACAUCUAUGCGAGUGUUUGGGUGUUAAACCCAUACGCGGAAUGAAAGUGAACGUAGGUGAGAACCCGCAAGGGUGCAUCAUCGACCGAUCCUGAUGUCUUCGGAUGGAUUUGAGUAAGAGCAUAGCUGUUGGGACCCGAAAGAUGGUGAACUAUGCCUGAAUAGGGUGAAGCCAGAGGAAACUCUGGUGGAGGCUCGCAGCGGUUCUGACGUGCAAAUCGAUCGUCAAAUUUGGGUAUAGGGGCGAAAGACUAAUCGAACC
rnacentral:rRNA from 1 species